CGACGUGAGGAACCUGCCUUUCANAGGGGGGCAACAGUUGGAAACGACUGCUAAUACCGCAUAAUAUAUGUUUGUCGCAUGGCAGAUAUAUCAAAGAUUUAUCGCUGAGAGAUGGCCUCGCGUCUGAUUAGCUAGUUGGUGAGGUAACGGCCCACCAAGGCGACGAUCAGUAGCCGGACUGAGAGGUUGGCCGGCCACAUUGGGACUGAGAUACGGCCCAGACUCCUACGGAAGGCAGCAG
rnacentral:rRNA from 1 species